UGGCGGCGUGCCUAAUACAUGCAAGUCGAACGCUUUGUGGUUCAACUGAUUUGAAGAGCUUGCUCAGAUAUGACGAUGGACAUUGCAAAGAGUGGCGAACGGGUGAGUAACACGUGGGAAACCUACCUCUUAGCAGGGGAUAACAUUUGGAAACAGAUGCUAAUACCGUAUAACAAUAGCAACCGCAUGGUUGCUACUUAAAAGAUGGUUCUGCUAUCACUAAGAGAUGGUCCCGCGGUGCAUUAGUUAGUUGGUGAGGUAAUGGCUCACCAAGACGAUGAUGCAUAGCCGAGUUGAGAGACUGAUCGGCCACAAUGGGACUGAGACACGGCCCAUACUCCUACGGGAGGCAGCAGUAGGGAAUCUUCCACAAUGGGCGAAAGCCUGAUGGAGCAACGCCGCGUGUGUGAUGAAGGGUUUCGGCUCGUAAAACACUGUUGUAAGAGAAGAAUGACAUUGAGAGUAACUGUUCAAUGUGUGACGGUAUCUUACCAGAAAGGAACGGCUAAAUACGUGCCAGCAGCCCGG
rnacentral:rRNA from 1 species